rnacentral:sRNA from 1 species
UAAGGGCUUAGGGGGCUGUGACAUCUUUUCUAGAGAGCCUAGCCAAUAAGGGAACUGCUUGUUGACCUGAGUCGGGUUAGACAUUGCCCUCUCUGGAGGCAGGGGAUGGAUUUGAUGACUUCUAGAAAUGGUUGCCUGAGAUAUUGGCUCUGGGGACCCAGGAGUCCUUGUUGCUUGUGUGCAAUUUGGUUGUUUUGAAAGCCCAUGUCUGUGCCUCUCUCUCCUCUUACCCCCUCUGUGUCUCUACCGUACUCUCUGCCCGGGGUCCCCCACGCCAGUCGAGUCGCUUCCCGCCGAGCCCCUCCCAACCGACGACCCAGCAGGUAGAACGUUGGUCAUAGAGGGCAUUGCUUUGGCCAGGCAGUCCCUGCCCUGGCAUCAGCAUGAUGUGUCCUGCCCAGGUCCCCACUGCCUGCAGGCAGGGUCCCAGGCUGAGCUGGGAUGGGGUGUCUGCUGGCCUCACCCCUCCAGCUGGCCUCUCUUCUACCCUCAGCUGUGCUCUACCAUGUCUCCCCUGCCUUCUUUCUUGCGUUUGUUGCUUUUGCUUCUGCAUUGCAGGGGGGUCUGCAGGGGUCUGCACUGGCAUUCUGGGUGCUCAUGGGGUUUCCGCCAUCUCUUCCUUCUCCCUUCUCCAGCAGGCAGGGUGGGUGCAUGUAUCCUGCCUAGACCUACUUAGGCCUUGGUUGUGAGCUGGAGCCAACUGGCUGUCAUGCUGCCCCGGCACUACUUGGGUAGGUUUGGUGUCCUAUGUGGACUCAGGGUGCGAAAGAGCACUGAAGCCCGACUGUGCAUCUGUGGCCGGUUGUGCAGGCGACUGAAGCAUUGGCAGAGCAGCCAGGCCUGGAGCUGCAGGGGCCUUAGGGAAGCUGCGGGGAGAGGGGGCUGCUCUGUGUUAACCUCUCCCUGCUUACCCCUCCCUGUGUGUGUUGUGCUGCCAGUGGCCUGCUCCUUAGCUGGGUGGGGAGCCCACUGUGACUCCCAUCUGUCUCUCCUUCAGGACAACAGGUGAUUGAAGAGCAACGGCGGCGACUGGCUGAGCUGAAGCAGAAAGCGGCAGCUGAGGCACAGUGCCAGUGGGAUGCCCUUCACGGGGCAGCCCCCUUCCCAGCGGGCCCCUCGGGCUUCCCCCCUCUCAUGCACCACUCUAUCCUACACCACCUGCCUGUGGGGCGGGAGCGUGGGGAGGAGAGUGAGCAUGCCUACGACACGCUAAGUCUGGAGAGCUCUGACAGCAUGGAGACCAGCAUCUCCACCGGGGGCAACUCGGCCUGCUCCCCUGACAACAUGUCCAGUGCGAGUGGUCUGGACAUGGGGAAGAUCGAGGAGAUGGAGAAGAUGCUGAAAGAGGCUCACGCAGAGAAGAACCGGCUCAUGGAGUCGAGGGAGCGGGAGAUGGAGCUGCGGCGGCAGGCCCUGGAGGAGGAGCGGCGGAGGCGUGAGCAGGUAGAACGGAGGCUGCAGAGUGAGAGUGCCCGGAGGCAGCAGCUGGUCGAGAAGGAGGUCAAGAUGCGGGAGAAACAGUUUUCCCAGGCACGACCCCUGACCCGCUACCUGCCAAUCCGGAAGGAGGACUUUGACCUGAAGACACAUAUUGAGUCAUCAGGCCAUGGUGUUGAUACCUGCCUGCACGUGGUGCUCAGCAGCAAGGUCUGCCGUGGCUACUUGGUCAAGAUGGGCGGCAAGAUUAAAUCAUGGAAGAAGCGCUGGUUUGUCUUCGACCGGCU